CCUACGGGUGGCUGCAGUGAGGAAUAUUGGUCAAUGGGCUUACGCCUGAACCAGCCAAGUCGCGUGAGGGAAGACUGCCCUAUGGGUUGUAAACCUCUUUUGUCAGGGAGCAAUUGGCGCUACGUGUAGCGUUAUCGAGAGUACCUGAAGAAAAAGCAUCGGCUAACUCCGUGCCAGCAGCCGCGGUAAUACGGAGGAUGCGAGCGUUAUCCGGAUUUAUUGGGUUUAAAGGGUGCGUAGGCGGAAUGCCAAGUCAGCGGUAAAAUCGCGGGGCUCAACCUCGCUCCGCCGUUGAAACUGGGGAUCUUGAGUGGGCGAGAAGUAUGCGGAAUGCGUGGUGUAGCGGUGAAAUGCAUAGAUAUCACGCAGAACUCCGAUUGCGAAGGCAGCAUACCGGCGCCCGACUGACGCUGAGGCACGAAAGCGUGGGGAUCGAACAGGAUUAGAUACCCCUGUAGUC
rnacentral:rRNA from 1 species